UGUAGAUAGGUGAUAGAUAUGGGGAUAUGAAGGGUUCAUUGUAGAUAGGUGAUAGAUAUGGGGGUAUGAAGGGUUAGUUGUAGAUAGGUGAUAGAUAUGGGGGUAUGAAGGGUUCAUUGUAGAUAGGUGAUAGAUAUGGUGGUAUGAAGGGUUAGUUGUAGAUAGGUGAUAGAUAUGGGGGUAUGAAGGGUUCAUUGUAGAUAGGUGAUAGAUAUGGGGGUAUGAAGGGUUAGUUGUAGAUAGGUGAUAGAUAUGGGGGUAUGAAGGGUUCAUUGUAGAUAGGUGAUAGAUAUGGUGGUAUGAAGGGUUCAUUGUAGAUAGGUGAUAGAUAUGGUGGUAUGAAGGGUUCAUUGUAGAUAGGUGAUAGAUAUGGUGGUAUGAAGGGUUCAUUGUAGAUAGGUGAUAGAUAUGGUGGUAUGAAGGGUUCAUUGUAGAUAGGUGAUAGAUAUGGUGGUAUGAAGGGUUCAUUGUAGAUAGGUGAUAGAUAUGGUGGUAUGAAGGGUUCAUUGUAGAUAGGUGAUAGAUAUGGUGGUAUGAAGGGUUCAUUGUAGAUAGGUGAUAGAUAUGGUGGUAUGAAGGGUUCAUUGUAGAUAGGUGAUAGAUAUGGUGGUAUGAAG